UACGUAGGGGGCGAGCGUUGUCCGGAAUUAUUGGGCGUAAAGAGCGUGUAGGCGGUUCGGUAAGUCUGUCGUGAAAACCCAGGGCUCAACCCUGGGCGUGCGAUGGAUACUGCCGGGCUAGAGGGUGGUAGAGGCAAGUGGAAUUCCGAGUGUAGCGGUGAAAUGCGCAGAUAUUCGGAGGAACACCAGUAGCGAAGGCGGCUUGCUGGGCCACACCUGACGCUGAGACGCGAAAGCUAGGGGAGCGAACAGG
rnacentral:ncRNA from 2 species